GACGAACGCUGGCGGCGUGCUUAACACGUGCAAGUCGAACGGAAAGGUCCUGCUUUUGUGGGGUGCUCGAGUGGCGAACGGGUGAGUAACACGUGAGUAACCUGCCCUUGACUUUGGGAUAACUUCAGGAAACUGGGGCUAAUACCGGAUAGGAGCUCCUGCUGCAUGGUGGGGGUUGGAAAGUUUCGGCGGUUGGGGAUGGACUCGCGGCUUAUCAGCUUGUUGGUGGGGUAGUGGCUUACCAAGGCUUUGACGGGUAGCCGGCCUGAGAGGGUGACCGGCCACAUUGGGACUGAGAUACGGCCCAGACUCCUACGGGAGGCAGCAGUGGGGAAUAUUGCACAAUGGGCGGAAGCCUGAUGCAGCAACGCCGCGUGCGGGAUGACGGCCUUCGGGUUGUAAACCGCUUUCGCCUGUGACGAAGCGUGAGUGACGGUAAUGGGUAAAGAAGCACCGGCUAACUACGUG
rnacentral:rRNA from 1 species